AAUUCUUCAUCUAUAUUUUGUCCAUUGAAGAUCACAUGCUGUCGGUAGUGUAGCAAAUGAAGUUAAGUUAGCUUUUGAGCAUGCAUAAAGCAAAUUUAAAAAGCUACAAGGUACUUCAUAAAGAAACCUGUAACCCACAGAAAGUAAAACUCCACAGCAUUGUGAAAUCAGGUCAUUCAUUAAUCUUUCUAUCUUGCUUGCAAGGGACAUCCAAGAAUAAAUUUUGGAGACCGCUAUACACACCCAAUAAAUUAACAGAACUUUGUCACAGAAAAAUUUCAAUGAGCAGGUUCAUAUGAGAGUUAAAUUGAAUCAUCAAGUUAUCCACCUAGAGAGCACAGACAUCUACUUAGUGUGGUGAUGCAGGAAAUAAGUUUUCCAGUCCCUUUUGUGCUCAAUCCAUAGUAACAGCCAUAACUACAAUCUCUAGAAAAAUAAACCUUGAUCAACUUACCAGGGCAUUACACAAAUCAACCCAUUGCCCAGUUCCCUCACCAGGAGUUCUAUA
rnacentral:misc_RNA from 1 species